rnacentral:rRNA from 1 species
AACGAACGCUGGCGGCAUGCCUAACACAUGCAAGUCGAACGAGACCUUCGGGUCUAGUGGCGCACGGGUGCGUAACGCGUGGGAAUCUGCCCUUGGGUUCGGAAUAACAGUUGGAAACGACUGCUAAUACCGGAUGAUGACGUAAGUCCAAAGAUUUAUCGCCCAAGGAUGAGCCCGCGUAGGAUUAGCUAGUUGGUGAGGUAAAGGCUCACCAAGGCGACGAUCCUUAGCUGGUCUGAGAUGAUGAUCAGCCACACUGGGACUGAGACACGGCCCAGACUCCUACGGGAGGCAGCAGUGGGGAAUAUUGGACAAUGGGCGAAAGCCUGAUCCAGCAAUGCCGCGUGAGUGAUGAAGGCCUUAGGGUUGUAAAGCUCUUUUACCCGGGAUGAUAAUGACAGUACCGGGAGAAUAAGCUCCGGCUAACUCCGUG